UGGGAGCCAGAGCUGCUGACAGAAUAUCAGGGCCCAGAACAGAUGGGAAUUCAUGAGUUGAGCCUCUGUUCUCCAGAGCUCAUAGAAGAACUAACACUAGAUCCCAGGGAAAGGGACCGGUAUCUAAAUGGCUUCUGUCACUUGUGUAUAAUUACAGCAUGUACUUUUGCUGUGCCCUGGCUAUAACUGCAAACCAGGCAGCCAGAAACAUAAGGAGCUUAAAUGGACAGUUCUAAAGCAGCUAAAAGGCUCAAGGAAGCAAAAAGCCAAUCCACCCUCCACGAUUUUAAAAGCAUGCGUAGGGGACUUGCUUUUUUUCCAAUUUGUACCGGGCCCAGAGAAUCUCUGCUUGGGAAAUGGAGGUUGUCAAAAGUCAUGGAGACAUGAGUCACUGGACUUUUUUUUUGUAGAGCCGAAUAGGAUCUGGUUGAGAAGCAGAAUUCUGAGCAAAGUGCAAGGUGGAAUGAGAUGUGCUGAGCCAGGGGUGAGGAACCUGGGGCCCUCCUGAUGUUGUUGGACUACAGCACCCUUGGAGGCUCAUGCUGAUGGGACUUGGAAGUCCAAGAAAACCUGGAGAUUGACAGGUUCCCCACCCUUGUGCUCUGCAAAUACAGGGGGCAAAGCUACAGAUGUGCUUGUCUUAUCCUCACCACACCCACCUCUUUAGGCUCAAGAUAUUUCAGAAGGAAGGAAGAUCGAGGUUGAAUCCUAACAAGACAGAAGUACUGUUCUUGGGGGACAGGGGGCAGGUGGGUGCAGGGGGAUUCCCUGGUCCUGAAUGGGGCAACUGUACCCCUGAAGGACCAGGUGAGCAGCUGUCCAUGGAGGUGCAGGUGAAUUCUGUGUCCAGGGCAGCUGUCUACCAGCUCCACCUGGUUUGCUGGCUGAGACCCUACCUGCCGGCAGACUGUCUCACCAGAGUGGUGCAUGCCCUGGUUAUCUCCUGCUUGGAUUACUGCAAUGUGCUCUACACGGGACUACCUUUGAAGGUGACUCGGAAACUAUAACUAAUCCAGAAUGCGGCAGCUAGACUGGUGACUGGGAGUGGCCGCCAGGAUGAUAUAACACAUAAUGGGGCAGGAGAGGGGAGUCAUUCUGUCCGGGAAGCCAAAAUGAUUGUGUUGAUGCAGCGAUUAGAAGAGCAUCAUGUUGCAUUUCUCCCUUUGUAUUUAAAUAAGUGCCGGACAGGCUUUUACAGGACAAAUUAAUGGCGUGAAGAGCAUUUAGCAUUGUGUAAUGGUUUGGGUGGAAGGAAGUGUGCUCAGUCAGUGAUCCUUGAUAUGAACAGAAGGUGGUGUUCCAAGUACACAAGAGUUGUCCCUGUUUUAAUGUGCAAAAUGUUGGCGGGUGUGUAAAUGUUGCUUUAAAAAAAAUAUGAAUUUACCCACAUGCAAAAAGACUAAAAGUAAAAUCCCAGUCAGGAAUGACAAGUCCAAAGGGAAAUACACACUGCUGCCACCUGGAAGAUGACAUUAACUAGACAAAUAUUCACCAAGCUGCAAUGAGCUAGAAACAAACAUCAGUGCCAUUUCUGAUGCUUUCCGCUGCAGGCGUUUAUUUGGUUCUGUUAUCUUUUCAUGCCACAGAAAUACUCUUAUUUCUUGGUGUUGAGCAAUUCACCAUGGACAUAACACUAGUUCAUUGAGUAAAAGCUUGUCUGGAUCACUAAACAACAGCCAUUAGGGUUGAGCACAGAAAAAAAAAAUGCUUCAGAAAUUACCUUGCUGGCUUGGGUAGUGGACUCUUUUGGUUCAGAGUCUUGGAAUGAUAUCAUGCUUUGGACUGUAUCCAAGCCAGAGGUUGCUUCACUUCAUUUCCCUAAACCUCAGAUGUCUUCCUUGUUGACUAUAAUGAGAACACCAACAAACAAAAAUCGAUAACUGUUUUAUUUUUAGGCAGGGUUGGAUAUUGCAGCCCCUUCUGAGAGGUUGGUGCCUGAAAAAUUUCAGACAAACCUAAUGAUAAGAAACACAACUGCAAUCUUGCCUUCAUUGAAUUAUUUUGUGAAAGUUUGCCACAGAAUUUCAGAAUUCCAGGUUCCAUUGCUGCACCCAUUUGGGGGGCCAAGCACUGGAAUUUGGAAAGGGACUGUUAUAUGGUAAUUUUUCUGUAUCUUUUUAAUUUACUUUAAAAAUCAGGAUUUGGAAGGCAAAAGCAAUUCCAAGUGUUAUAUGGAAGUUAGCAAUCAGCAGGUGGCAAAAGGGAAGAAGGGCGAUUCUGGAAACUUAAUAGUCUCUGGGCAAAUUUGUGAGCAUGUUCUAAAAAUAUAACAUAGGCUCUCGGGAAGUGGCAUUAUUUUUUCAGGCACAAAAUUCUUUCUCUCUUAAUUGGAAAGUGCCAGAGGUGGGGUGCUCACCUUGAAGCUCAUUAUCUUACACAGUAUUUUCCCCCUCCCCAAUUUUCUUGCCCUUUCAACUUCUGACGACUUUUUGUCUAAAUUGAAGUAGUAAUUUCAGCUUGGAAAAACUUCUUUUUAAGAAAAAGACCCAGCUCUAUGUUGUCAACUGGGCAAAAUUAGUUGUGACUGUUAAUGAGGCAGCUUUACUUUAAUUCUACCUCAAUGUUCUGCCAUGCCCAGCUAUUUAUAAACUAGAUGGACUUUUAAAAAACAAAAACAAAAAUCACACAUUUGCUUAUCUCUUUACCUUAAGGGGUAAUUGCUGAGAUGAUGAGAAAGUAUUGCAAUUUUGUCUUCCUUUGAAAUAUCAGUGUGGGCUGUUGAUGCUCUGUUGGUCUCAGGGAAGAACAGCUCAUGCCUAUGAACGUUUACUCAAAAGUAAGUCUCACUGAAUUCAAUGGCAGUUAUUUAUUUAGAUGCAAGUAUGCACAGAACACAGGUGGCGCUGUGGGACGCAGGUGGCUCUGUGGUCUAAACCACUGAGCCUCUUGGGCUUGCUGAUCAGAAGGUUGGUGGUUCGAAUCCCCACACCGGGGUAAGCUCCCGUUGCUCUGUCUCAGCUCCUGCCAACCUAGCAGUUCAAAAGCACGCCAAAAAGUGCAAGUAGAUAAAUAGGUACCACUCUGGUGGGAAGGUAAAUGGCGUUUCUGUGCGCAGCUCUGUUUUGGUGUUCUGUUGCGCCAGAAGCAGCUUAGUCAUGCUGGCCACAUGACCCAGAAAAACUGCCUGCGGACAAACACUGGCUCCCUUGGCCUGUAAAGCGAGAUGAGUGCCGCAACCCCAGAGUCGUCUGUGACUGGACUUAACUGUCAGGGGUCCUUUACCUUUAUGCACAGGACAGCAGGCUCUGUUAGCCAAGGUAAAUACAACCAUGAUCUUUUUCAGAUUAGAGAGCUUCUGCUGUUAUGAGUUUGCAUGUUUUACCCUCUACCAGAUGGCGGAUUGAGGCCUGCUUCUAGCUUCCAGCCCUGACACACGCUACUCUGGCUAUUGUCCUUCUCACUACCAGUCAGGUGAGGGAGGCAGUCCACCUAUUUGCCCUCUGGCACAAAGCAGCUUCCUUUCUUAUACUAACAGCCCAUGAACUCACCAAGAAACUUGUCUGGCUCCUUCAACAAUGGAAUCCCCCAAACUCACAACAACAUUCUGUAGGGUGUGGCUGGAUGGACUUUAAAUAUAUGAUGUGGAUCUGACCAGUGUUGUCUUGCACAUUUCCUGGGUGAAGUACACGCCGAAGCUCCAUUUCAAACAUAUUGUUUUUGGAAAGGAUAACAUGGUUCCUGGAGAACUCUAGCAUUCAGUUACUUCAUGUUGGAAGCAGUUGGAGAGAAACAGUUAUGCUAAUCUAUUAGCAACUAUUAAUACCUCAAAUCAUUGGCUUGUCUGGCCCUAUAAAUUUCGGCUUCCUAAGCAGCAUAGUGUAAGAAGAAGCACCGUUCUUACUCAUUUCCCUAAUCCCUUAUCCGUACAUGCCAUGUUUCAAUUUUGAAGCUUGCCACUUGCAGUAGCUUUUGCUUAUAAUUACAUUCCCCUUCAUUCCCAGUUCCUUAAAUCCCACUUCUCCUCAAUUUGUCCUUGCAGAUACUGUCUAAGGAUUCCCUGACUCUCUCUCUCUCUCUCUCUCUCUCUCUCUCUCUCUCUCUCUCUCUCUCCAUCUUUCCAAAUACUUAUUUGCUGUCUGCUUCUUUCCAAAUUUUCACUGCAUGUAAUCCUUGUCACCAUCUACAACCAUCUGAACAACAAGAAGCAGAAUUAUUGUAACUGCUGGAGAGGAUCGUUUUCUGACUUGGAUGAAAAUUGUGAUGCUUGCCUUAAAUCUGAGGUGACCCAGUGCUGUACCGAAAAUGUCCUCCUGCUUUUAUAGGGACAUCCAAAAAAGAGGGGACAUUUUCCUGUAGUUUUUGGAGGGAGCUGGAGAAUGGCACUAUGUUAUGUGACGUAGCACUGUGGGAUGGGGAAGUAUGAUCAGAAUUGAAGAUUUAAAAAGUGGACAGAUUUGUCCAUCACUAGUGAGGGGUAGGGUCUAAUAAUAGCUGGUUGUGGUGGGUGAUUAGCUUGUUGCAGGCAGUGGCAUAGUGUGUGUGGGGAGGGGGGCACAGGGGUGGUUUCCCUGGAUGCAAAAUUGUUAGGGGCACCAAAUUUCAACACCUGGUGCUGCCUCAAUACAGCUGGCUCCUCCGUGCAAACCAGGAAGUGACUUCUCCAGACAACAGAAUGACUCUGCUUUUGUUAUCUCUGUGGCUGUGAUCUCCUGCAUGACACGGACAGCAUUAGGCAGUUGAAUGUGCAUGCAUACUCUGUUUCCUCCCCUCCUCCCCCUCCACGUGGCCCUGGGUGCUGGCAACCCACGCUACACCACUGGGUGCAGGGUAGCACAAAUGUCGGCAUUUGUGGAGAAAGUGGGUGAAAACAGCUGACUCCUAUGAUGUGUGUGUGACACAGCACUGCUGGGUUUAUGGUAUACAUUUUAUUUGUCCUGUAAACUUUAAAAAUGAAUCUAAUAUGUAAGUGUCUGGUUUUCUUGCCAGCUCUUUCUUCCUAUCUUUCCCUAGGCAGCAUUUAUAUGUAGAGGCUCAAAAGAACUGUGGCAGGCGAUGCUCAAGAGUUCUGUUAAACAAAAUACUUUCUCAAAGGUGCUAUUGAAGAUCCAUUAAACUCUGAAUAGGCAUUUAUGUGAUACAAGACUGCAAGGUUCUCCAGAGGCUUGCUGCUGGAUUAGAACACUGUAAAUGUCAAACUGAAUAUAAAUAGAUGCUCUUAAAAACACUUAUUUAAAGAAAUGCAUUUGGGGAGGGGGGUGUUUCCAGUCUUAUUUUAUUGGUGUGUCUGGAGGAUUCUUAAGCAGUUUCCAAAAUGGUCACUCGCUCAAGAGCCCUUGCAAUGGAAAGAGUGAAGACAUCGCUGUAACCCGAAAUGUAAUUAGCUAUAAAGGCCAAGGUAUAAAACAGCAGGAGCAAAAUCGGAGCGAAGAAACCAUCGGUUACAGAAGGCAGCUCCCAACUUUCUGUUCCAUUCUUUGAGAAGCCCACCAGGAUGAGGCUCUGCGGAUGAAGAGGAGGAGCUAUGCAAAUGAGUCAGAUCACCAUCACCACCAGCGCUCUGAAUGGUUUAUGGAUUCUAAACUGCAGAGUGUCUGAUUCCGAAGAGGCCAACCAGUAACUGAACCCGUGGAAUCUCUCCCCUCCCUCCAAAAAUGGUGAUUUAUGGAGCAUAGCAGCAACUACAGUUGGCAUAAGAAGUGGGGAGGGAACUAAAGUAUGAAAAAUAGACUCUACAGAAGGGAGACAGUUGGCAAGUAACACAGACAUAAAGAUGAACCUUCGAAGCUCACAAGAGGUUUUUGUUACCCUGUUAUUUACAACUGCCUUCUCCAUUACUAGGAGACUGAUUUUCAGCAAAGGUCAUAAAGAGUAAUUAAGCUAGUAGUUUGAAAGGCAUAGAGUUUGGAAGACACUCAGCGGGUCAGCUAGAAAUCAAAGCUAAUUCAAUCCAUUGAGUUGCUGUACAAUAUCAAGCUGUGGCCUUCAUUAUUUUAAUUUCCCACAAAGGAAGAUCAAGCAAAACUAAGUCAAACUGUACUGAUUAAGGCAAAGCUAACAACUUCAUUAAAGCACUCGCUAAGUGAUUUUGCCGAGUGAAUAUUUCCAAGAGCGCAGAUAUGGGUAUGCAGUGGGAAGGAAUGAUCAACUUUCAUUCCUGAAUCAUGAUGGCACACUCAUCCCAGACGGUAUAAAUAAAGAGAUGAAUUGCGGUACUCAAACAGGGGGAAAGAGGCUAAGCAAACUAAUUCCCGGGAACUAAGCAUAAAUUGUGGUGUAGAUUGCAAACAAACAGACAAACAAACAAAAAUUGUUGCACAAUCUGAUCCAUUAGGCCAGGCCAACCUAAAAAGGGGCCAUGAUGCGCCUAAAUCUUAACAUUUUUGCAGCCAGCAGCGUGAAAGCUCUAUUCAUCUAGAAAGAGAGAGAAAAAGAGAAGGGUUGAACUGCAAUACUGGAAACUGCUGCUAGGCAUGAAGAUCGAUCUUGGAGGGGAAGAAACGGCAGAAUUUGGAAGUGCAAUAAAAAAUAAGAUGCAAUCAUAAACCACAACAUAAAAAAACAUAUGUUUAAUGCAUAUUUUAUUUUUUAUUUUCCACUUAGUGUUGUGAUUAUGCUAAGGCUAACAGCAAGUCAUUUACACAAAUCAGAAGCGGGGACAGGCUGAAAUACUGUUUCAAUUACUCGGCUCACAACAGCUACAACAACAGCCUCGCUAUAAAUAAGAACCGGAUACUCCAUAGCUUUGCAGAUUAAGAUGGAAGAUACAGAGAAUAUUUGCAUCCUGCUCCAGUGUACUUCCCUUCUAGAAUUCAAUGCUGCAUGCCAAACAAGGGGAGAAAUGCCUUCAGAGUCAGGCUCUGGGCUUCUGUUUCUGAAUUUCCGUUAAAGAACGGUAUUUUUGGUUGGA